CACUUACUGAGUUCUGUAUGUUGAUGAAGCCUACCUGAUUGUGGUAGUCAGCCUACCUCACUGUGGUGGAUUAGCUUUUUGAUUGGCUGCUGGAUUCAGUUUGCUAGUAUCUUGUUAAGGAUUUUUGUAUCUAUGUUAAUCCAGGGUAUUGGCUUGGAGUUGCCUUUUUUUGUUGUGUCUCUGCUAGAUUUGGUAUUAGAAUGAUGCUGGCCUCAUAGAAUGAGUUAGGGUGGAGUUCCCCCUCCUCAAUUUUUUGGAGUAGUGUCAAUAGAAUUGGUACCAGUUCUUCUGUAUACAUCUGGUAAAAUUAUACUAUGAAUCCAUCUGGUCCUGGGCCUUUUCUGAUCGGUAGGCAUGUUAUUACUGCUUUAAUUUCAGAGCUCAUUAUUGAUCUGUUCAGGGAUUCAAUUUCUGUUGGUUCAAUCUUGGCAGGUUGUAUGUUUCUAGUAGUGUAUUCAUUUCUUCUAGGUUUUGUAGUUUGUGUGCAUAGAAGAGUUCAUAGUAGUCUCUGGGGAUAUUUUGUAAUUCCAUGGUAUUGGUGGUAAUGUCCCCUUUUUCAUUUCUGAUUGUGUUUGUUUGGAUCUUCUCUCUUUUUAUUAAUCUAGCUAGUAGUUUAUCAAUCUUAUUUAUUCUUUCAACAAACUCCUGGAUACAUCGAUCUUUUCUAUAGUUUCUGUGUCCCAGUUUCAUUCAGUUCUGCUCUGUUUUUCAUAAUUUCUUGUCUUCUGUUAGCUGUGGAGUUGGUUUGCUCUUGUUUUUCUAGUUCCUCUAGGUGUGAUGUUAUGUUGUAAUUUGAGAUCUUUUUAACUUUUUGGUGCGAGCGUUUAUUGCUGUAAACAUCCCUCUUAACACUGCUUUACUGUGUCCCAGAUAUUUUGAUAUGUUGUAUCUUUGUUCUAAUUAGGUUCACAGAAUUUCUAGAUUUCUGCCUUAAUUUCAUUGUUCACUCAAAAGUCAUUGAGGAGCAGAUUGUUUAAUUUCUCUGUAAUUGUAUAGUUUUGAGUGAUUGUCUUAUUUUAUUUGCAUUGUGGUCCAAGAGUGUGGUUGGUAUGAUUUUUUUUAAAAUUUGCUGAGAAUUGUUUUAUGGCUGAUAGUGUGGUCAGUUUUAGAGCAUGUGCCAUGUAUGGAUAAAAAGAAUGUAUAUUCUUUUGUUUUUGGGUGAAGAGUUCUGUAGAUGUCGAUUAGGCUCAUUUGGUUGAAUGUUGAUUUCAGGCACCAAUGUCUUUGUUCGUUGACUACCUCAGUGAUCUGUCUAAUACUGUCAGUGAGGUGUUAAACCCCCCACUAUUAUUGUGUAGUUAUCUAUGUCUCUUCGAAAGUCUCUAAGAACUUGUUUUAUGAAUCUGGGUGCUCCACUGUUGGUUGCAUGUGUAUUUAGAAUAGUUAAGUCUUCUUGUUGAAUUGAACUCUUUACCGUCAUGUAAUGUCCUUCUAUGUCUGUUUUUGAUUGCUGUUGGUUUAAUGUCUGUUUUGUCUGAAAUUAGAAUAGCAACUUCUGCUUUUUUCUGUUUUCUGUCUGUUUGGUUGAGGUCUUUUUUUCCCUCUUUACUUUGAGCCUCUGGGUGUUAUUACAUAACAUGCAAUGCCUUUUCUGCGGACUGCAUCCCGAACAGAAGCUGGAGUCAGUACAGAUCUUUAAAUCCCUGUUAUUUCCACUGAAUUUUGGAUGCUUCCUGCCCUUGAACACUGGACUCCAAGUUCUUCAGCUUCAGCACUUGGACUGGUUUCCUUGCUUCUCAGCUUGCAGACAGCCUAUUGUGGGACCUCACCUUCUGAUGGUCUAUUCUUUGGUAAUGACCCUGCACAGUGAUCACAUGGAGGAGAAAUGCUGAUGUGAUCUAUUCACACACAUUAGUGGAUAAGCUCACUGUGAAAGACAGCGGAAGCUAAAUAAUGAAAACUCCUGAACACAAAGGAGGGAACAACAGACACUGGAGUCUACUUUGGGGGCAGGGUUGGAGAAGAAAGAGGAGCAGAAAAGGUAACUAUUGGUUACUGGGCUUAAUACCUGGGUGAUGAAAUAAUGUGUACAACAAACCUAUGUAACAGAACUUCACAUGUACCCCUAAACGUAAAAUAAAAGUUAAAGAAACUCCUUAAACCCUGUUAUGCUUUAUGAACUAGAUUUAUGUAGUAUUCUAAAUCCUUUGUUUUCAUUUUAACAGUGUUGACAGCAUCUUCCCCUGGAGUAGAUCCACCUCAAGGAAUCACUUUCAUUGCUCAUUCAUAAGAAGGAACUCUUCAUAUAUUCGGGUUUUAUCAUGAGAUUGCAGCAGUCCAAUUACAUUUUCAGAUUUCACUUCUAAUUCUAGUUCUCUUGCUAUUUCUACCAGAUGCCGUUACUUCCUCCACUGAAGCCUUGGGCACUUCAAAGUCAGCCAUGAGAGUGGGAGUUAACUUCCUUCAAACUUCUAUUGAUGUGAAUAUUUUGACCUCCCCGCAUGAAUUAUGGAUUUUUAAAAUUUUAUUUUUAAUGUUAUGGGUUCAUAGUAGGUGUUUAUAUUUAUGGGGCACAUCAGAUACUUUGAUACAAUCAUACAAUGUGUAAUAAACAUAUCAGAGGAAAUCCA